GCCCGCGUAGGCGAAUGGUAUAGCCGCUGGUCUCAAACACCAGGCCGAAAGGCGUGUCGGUUCGACUCCGACCGUGGGUAC
rnacentral:tRNA from 3 species